rnacentral:piRNA from 1 species
UGCACAUGAAUUCUCCAAAGCAGUGGGC